AGGGAGAAGUCCAAGCUUCCUCAUGAAGAGGAUCACAUCAAGAGUGAAGCCAAAGGCACAGGAAGCACAGCUGGAAUGGGGACAUAGGAACGCGGGGGCUCCCAUGAGUUGACCGGACAACUGAGAGAUGGCAACCUAGACCUGGGGCUCAUAUAUUAAAAUCCUGACCCCGAGUACUUCAGAAUGUGACUGAAUAUGGAGACAGGGCUUUUAAAGAGGCAAUUAAGGUAAAAUGAGAUAAUACGGCAGACCCCACUCAAUAUGAUUGAUACUUAUAAGAAGAAAGAUUAUGACACACACAGAGAUUGAGAGGGGACACUGUGAAGAUACAGGGAGAUGGCAGCUGUCUGCAGGCCCAGGAGAAAGGCCUCAGAAGAAACCAAACCUGCUGACACCUUGAUUUUGAACUCUAGUCUCCAGAACUGUAAAAAAAUAAAUUUCUGUCAUCUAA
ensembl:lncRNA LINC01499 long intergenic non-protein coding RNA 1499